rnacentral:rRNA from 1 species
GGGACACGUGGUAUCCUGUCUGAAUAUGGGGGGACCAUCCUCCAAGGCUAAAUACUCCUGACUGACCGAUAGUGAACCAGUACCGUGAGGGAAAGGCGAAAAGAACCCCGGCGAGGGGAGUGAAAAAGAACCUGAAACCGUGUACGUACAAGCAGUGGGAGCACGCUUAGGCGUGUGACUGCGUACCUUUUGUAUAAUGGGUCAGCGACUUAUAUUCUGUAGCAAGGUUAACCGAAUAGGGGAGCCGAAGGGAAACCGAGUCUUAACUGGGCGUUAAGUUGCAGGGUAUAGACCCGAAACCCGGUGAUCUAGCCAUGGGCAGGUUGAAGGU